UACAGAGGGGGCAAGCGUUGUUCGGAAUUACUGGGCGUAAAGGGCGCGUAGGCGGCCCGCUAAGUCGAACGUGAAAUCCCCGAGCUCAACUCGGGAACUGCGUCCGAUACUGGUGGGCUUGAAUCCGGGAGAGGGAUGCGGAAUUCCAGGUGUAGCGGUGAAAUGCGUAGAUAUCUGGAGGAACACCGGUGGCGAAGUCGGGAUCCUGGACCGAGAUUGACGCUGAUGAGCGAAAGCUAGGGGAGCAAACGGGG
rnacentral:rRNA from 1 species